rnacentral:lncRNA from 1 species
UUUGAUAGUCGAGUCUGCUGGAAUACUAGUGGAAUUAAUACUUUCCAGAUAGAUGCGAGAAAAUGUUUGAUAGAAGUCUUUUUAAUAGUAUGGUUUAGAAAAUCAAUAAUUCUUGUGAAGUGAGGGGCUCAUAAGUCAUUUUUCUUGGAGAGGAAUAUGGGCUGUUAAAAAAGGCUUCAAUUUUGUUAAGAACUAGACAUAAUGAAUAUGAGAAACUGAAGAGCGAGCUAAAAAGAAGUUGCUAGGCUGUGUUCUACCUUUCAGGGUUGGCAUCAUUAAAUACACACUAUUUGCAGGAUGCUCAAGGACCAUUAUUAUAUGAAAUACAUUUAUUGUAGUUCUUCCAUCUUUAUAUUUUCUCUGCC